AUGUGCAAAGGCUUGACUGGGGAAGAGGAGGAUGGGGCUGGAGGCCACGAAGCAGUACGGGAGAUCCCUGAAGUGAUCCCCAUAAAAAAAAUUAUUAGAGGGGAGUCUUGUGCAGGCGCCGGGUGGACAUCUGUGAGGGUGGCUUGUGCAGCCAUAUGGUCCCUGGCCGACCAGGACAGGUUUAUUUGCACCUAUCCUGCCUAUUUAAAUAAGAAGAAGACCAUCACAGAAGGAAGGCAGAUCCCCAUCAGUAAGGCUGAUGAAAAUCCUACAGCUACAGAGAUUCAAGAUGUAUGCUCAGCAGUUGGACUUAAUGUAUUUCUUGAGAAAAAUAAAAUGUACUCUAGAGAAUGGAAUCAUGAUGUCCAAUACAAAGGCAGAGUCCGGGUUCAGCUUAAACAGGAAGAUGGCAGCCUCUGUCUUGUACAGUUUCUGUCACAUAAGUCUGUAAUGUUGUAUGCAGCGGAAAUGAUACCUAGACUAAAAACAAGGACACAAAAAACAGGAGUUGGUGACCAAAGUCUUCAGCAAGGAGAGGGAAGUAAAAAAGGGAAAGGAAAGAAGAAGUGACCUAGUAUGAGCAUCAUUUAUCUGAUAGUACUCCAAGAGACAUGAAUGGAGGCUUCUAAUUUUUAUCUGAGAGAAACAGAAGCUCUUUGUUUGCAUGAUUUUAUUGAACUAUGCACACUUGUGCCUCCCAUCAUCAUCAGAGUUGACAAUGAAAUAAAUCUACAUCAGAACUUUGCAUCUAGCUUUUAUGCAGUAAAGAUUUUUUAUUUUUUGUCUUUCAAUG